rnacentral:rRNA from 1 species
GGAAAGACCCCGUGAACCUUUACUGCAGCUUGACACUGAACUUUGACCUUACUUGUGUAGGAUAGGUGGGAGGCUUUGAAGCUGGAACGCUAGUUCCAGUGGAGCCGUCCUUGAAAUACCACCCUGGUAAUGUUGAGGUUCUAACUCUGUCCCGUGAUCCGGGACGAGGACCGUGUCUGGUGGGUAGUUUGACUGGGGCGGUCUCCUCCUAAAGAGUAACGGAGGAGUACGAAGGUGCGCUCAGCGUGGUCGGAAAUCACGCGUAGAGUAUAAAGGCAAAAGCGCGCUUAACUGCGAGACCCACAAGUCGAGCAGGUACGAAAGUAGGUCUUAGUGAUCCGGUGGUUCUGUAUGGAAGGGCCAUCGCUCAACGGAUAAAAGGUACUCUGGGGAUAACAGGCUGAUACCGCCCAAGAGUUCAUAUCGACGGCGGUGUUUGGCACCUCGAUGUCGGCUCAUCUCAUCCUGGGGCUGAAGCAGGUCCCAAGGGUAUGGCUGUUCGCCAUUUAAAGAGGUACGCGAGCUGGGUUUAGAACGUCGUGAGACAGUUCGGUCCCUAUCUACCGUGGGCGCUGGAAAUUUGAGAGGAUCUGCUCCUAGUACGAGAGGACCAGAGUGGACGAACCUCUGGUGUACCGGUUGUGACGCCAGUCGCAUCGCCGGGUAGCUAUGUUCGGAAGGGAUAACCGCUGAAAGCAUCUAAGCGGGAAGCCUACCUCAAGAUAAGAUUUCCCUAGGACUUUAUGUCCUCUAAAGAGCCGUUCGAGACUAGGACGUUGAUAGGUUGGAUGUGGAAGCAUAGUGAUAUGUGAAGCUGACCAAUACUAAUUGCUCGUGAGGCUUGACUAU